rnacentral:rRNA from 1 species
UACAGAGGUCUCAAGCGUUGUUCGGACUCAUUGGGCGUAAAGGGUGUGUAGGUGGCGCGCUAAGUCGGGUGUGAAAUUUCGGAGCUUAACUCCGAAACUGCAUUCGAUACUGGCGUGCUUGAGGACUGGAGAGGAGACUGGAAUUUACGGUGUAGCAGUGAAAUGCGUAGAUAUCGUAAGGAAGACCAGUGGCGAAGGCGGGUCUCUGGACAGUUCCUGACACUGAGACACGAAGGCCAGGGGAGCAAACGGG